AUACGGAGGGUGCGAGCGUUAAUCGGAAUUACUGGGCGUAAAGCGUACGUAGGCGGUUGGUUAAGUUAGAUGUGAAAGCCCCGGGCUUAACCUGGGAACUGCAUUUAAAACUGGCGAACUAGAGUUGAGUAGAGGGGAGUGGAAUUUCAGGUGUAGCGGUGAAAUGCGUAGAGAUCUGAAGGAACACCAGUGGCGAAGGCGGCUCCCUGGACUCGAACUGACGCUGAGGUACGAAAGCGUGGGUAGCAAACGGGAUUAGAUACCCUAGUAGUCC
rnacentral:rRNA from 1 species